rnacentral:rRNA from 1 species
GACGAACGCUGGCGGCGUGCUUAACACAUGCAAGUCGAACGGUGAAGCGCCUUCCUUUUUGGUGGGUGUGGAUGAGUGGCGAACGGGUGAGUAACACGUGAGUAACCUGCCCCCUUCUUCUGGAUAACCGCAUGAAAGUGUGGCUAAUACGGGAUAUUCUGGGUCUGUCGCAUGAUGGGUCUGGGAAAGAUAUUGUUUCGGUGGGGGAUGGGCUCGCGGCCUAUCAGCUUGUUGGUGGGGUGAUGGCCUACCAAGGCGGUGACGGGUAGCCGGCCUGGGAGGGUGGACGGUCACACAGGGACUGAGACACGGACCAGACUCCGGCGGGAGGCAGCGGGGGGGAAUAUUGCACAAGGGGCGCAAGCCUGAUGCAGCGACGCCGCGUGAGGGAUGGAGGCCUUCGGGUUGUGAACCUCUUUCGCCAGUGAAGCAGGCCUGCCUCGUUUGUGGGUGGGUUGACGGUAGCUGGAGAAGAAGCGCCGGCUAACUACGUG